UCUCCAAGCAUAAUACAAAAGCCUUCUUCCGAAUUUCUCCAAGUCUUCCUUUCAUUCUCUUAGCGAUCUUAGUAUAAAAGGGUUUAAUUGAGCUUACAAGAUCGUGAAAAAUUCGUGAGUGAGUUGUCAAGUGCCGCACGGAGUCUUAGAAAAUACUCUAAGUCUGUAACAACGUGGUAUCAGAGCGAGGUUUGAUACUAAGGGAAUGGCUACCAAAGGAGACGUUAACAGCGCUGGCACCACCAACGUCCGUAUGGAUGGUGGAAAGAAGAACCAAAAGGGGGAGAAACAUCAAAAGUGUAAUGAGGAGGUGCUGCCUGAUACCACACCUAGCGAGGCGUUAACAUCUCAUCCACCAUCGACUAUCAAAGUAAGUGACGAAGAAAUGGGUGAAGACGCCAUAGACGUCACCGCUAGAGAAGAAUGGGUCGCAAGGGUGGAAGUGGAAAGGCAGGCCGUGGAGAUAUUAAGUCGGCGCAUGAAUGUGGCCAACGACAAGUUCAAGACCCUUGAAGGACUUCACCCUUGAGGAGACCGAGAGUAUCCGUAAGGAGUUUGAGAUGAAGGAGGUUAUCACUUCCUUGGAGUGUCGGCUUAUAGACGCGCUUAUCACGAUCGAGACGCUGAAGGUCGAAGUGAAAACACUAAAGGAAGGCGUGGAAGUUGGAGGAUCGUCGUCGUUCGACCGAGAUAGGGAGGCCAAGGUCGAGGCUCCUAAGCCACAUGUGUUCAAAGGCGUCCAUAACGCACAAGAGGUGGAGAAUUUCUUAUGGUACUUCGAAAAUUACUUCAAAUGUAAUCGGGUAACAAACGACGAAAAUAAGAACAACACAACUGUGUUGUAUCUUUCGGAGAUGCUCAUGCUAUGAUGGAGGCGUAAAGAAUCAGAAAUAGGGAAGGGGCGUUGCACCAUCAACACUUGGGAGUGAUUCCGCGAGGAGUUCAAGAAAACCUUCUUCCCUAACAACGUUAUCUAUGAGGCAACGCGACAGUUUAUGGAACUGAAGCAUACGGGCAGCAUACACGCAUUCACCACCCUUACGCUUCAGAUUCCUAACCUCGUGGAUGAAGAUAUGUUUUUCCACUUCAUGAAUGGGCUGCAAAAUUGGGCGAGGACGGAGUUGGAACGCCGAUAGAUCGGGACUAUUGAUGAAGCCAUCACGCAGGCCGAAGCUUUGACCGACUUCAGGCACGAGAAGCCUGACAUAGCCAAAGGAGAUGAGAUGAGAGGUAGUCAUGACAACGGUAAAAGAGAUCAUGGCAAAGGCGAGGAGUAGCGGCCACAUCCUAAGAAGCAUGAUACCUAUAAGUCCGAUGGCAAGAAGUCUAGAUGUCAUGGCAACACAUAGAGAAAGACAGAGGUCGCCAAAAGAGGUGGUUGAUACAUAUGUGGUGGGCCUCAUGGCUAUGCAAGGUGCCCUGAGUUGAAGAGCCUUGGUGCUACCUUCUGAGAGCGGAAAGAGAAGGAAGCAUAUGAGAAAGAACAAGGUGCGGAGACGAAGCAGUUGGGCUUGAUAGGAUUAUGCGGAGCUAUCACCAAACAACCAGAGAAGUCGAGAGUAUGCGGCGCGCAGUAUGUCGACAUCACGAUCAAUGGAAGACCCGCUCGUGCUAUGGUCAACACAGGUGCAGAAGUCAAUAUUAUGACCAAGAUAGCAGUGACAAGGUUGUGGCUGUGUUACAAUUCAAGUAACGCCCAACUUAGGACUAUCAAUGCACCACCGACUCCCGUGAGUGACGUCGCACAUGGAGUAAGCAUCACGCUAGGGGAGUGGCAAGGUAAAACCAACUUCAUUGUUGCUCCUUUAGAUAUUUUGAUAUAAUUCUUGGGCAGGAUUACUUCUAGCAGUGUCACGCGGUUAUCAAUCCUUACCUCCAAUGACUUCUGGUCAUAGAUCAAGGAGAAACAUGCAUGGUUCCCCUGGGUAAGGCAUCAAAGACGGUAGAACAAGUGUGACUAACAGCCAUACAACUCAAAAGAAGCAAUAAGAAAAAGGGGAUGACAUUCGCAACCACUAUUGCAAGUUUAAAAGAAGACAAUGGUUCCAAAAGGGCCUCGCCACCACGCCCAAAGAAGGAUAAUAAUAUUGUGAUGCCAAGGAAGCCGUCGAGGCGCUUGCCUCCUAGGAAGGAGGUAGAUCGUGAGGCCGAGAUAGAAGAGAUAACAAAGCAAUUGAAGGAGUUGUGCGAGGUCAUUGAUCGAAUAAUUGGACUAUUGGUUGCGUGUACGAAAAGACAAAACUCGAUCGCCGAUGAAGUGAUGAUGCGACGCGGUCGUCGCAUCAAUAGGUGGGGAGAGUGUUACGUCCCACCGCAUCAUAGUUAAAUUUUACAUCCGAAUAGAGAUGAAAGGGUCUAGAGUUGUGGAGAGGUUUGCAGAGAACUCUAGAACCUUCUAGAUUAAUCAAGAAGGCUAGAGAAUUCCUUAAAAUUCUCAAGAAAGUCAAGAAAGGAAUUCUCUAGAAUAACUUAGACUUUUCAAGAAAGUCUUCGGAAGAUCCUAGAAAGUGUAGACUUUUCUAGAAUAGGGAUCAAAGUGUAAAUAACUUAGCGACUUGUAAGUAAUUUUUAUUUACAUUUUAGGCCCUAUGAAGUAGUAUAAAAAAAAGGGCUCUCAUUUGUAAAUCAACUAAGAAAGUUGUAAGCAUUCUCCAAGCAUAAUACAAAAGCCUUCUUCAAAAAUUCUCUAAGUCUUACUUUCAUUCUCUUAGCGAUCUUAGUAUAAAGGGCUUACUUGAGUUUACAAGAUCGUGAAAGAUUCGUGAGUAAGUUGUCAAGUGCCGCACGGAGUCUUAGCAAAUACUCUAAGUCCGUGACAUCUCUCUCUCGUUUCUUUCUUAGCUUUAGAGGGGAUGAACUCAACAAAUUGUUGAUGAAAUUUUAGGAAAAAAUUCAAGGCAGAACUCCUAUAGGAAGGAACUUUGCUAAGAUUUUUAUCAAUUUUUGGGUUUUCUUCACUAUUUUUCGCUUUGAGCUAAAGUUUCAUUUUACAGGAACUCCAGCAGACUCAACUUACCUAGGGAUCUCCAAAAAGAUCUUUCCUUCAGUACCUCAGCUGGUAGCUUUCGAUACUAAUGCUCUGUUUAUAUAUUGAUUUAGCAUGUAGCUUCACUUUCUUGACAUUUCUGCCUUCCCAAUCCGAAGGUAUCUCCUUAGGACAGCUUCGAUCAUUUGGAUAACUUUCUUUGGCAACUAAGAUCUAAAACCGGAAUAUUUGUAUAAAGAUAAAUACACUCUUAAUCAUUUCUGCUUCACUUUUCGAACAAGGAGAAAACAAUUGGCAACCUUAGUUGCUCGGGCUCUUAUAAAUAUAAGAAGUCAUGAAUUUCAAUCGUACAACAACUUUGCAAAUAGUAAAAUGCACUUCAGUUUGCCAACUAUAGUUGUUAGCUUUUUCAUAAAAAUCAAACGAACCAUAUAACACAUGGGAUGACUGAUGAAAAAAAUCAUGUGUCACUCGCAAGAAAGUUGGAAUUGUCUAUAUGGGUCCUUGUUGUCUAUGUUGUUAUGCCCUGAAAUGGUCUAAAUUUUGUUGUUUUGCCCUGAAACUAAGAUGUAAAUGCUGGUUGGAAGCACUAGUUGAUCACAACCAUAGUGAAUGAUAGCAUACUUUAUAUUUGAACCUCAAUCUCCUUAAAGUUGUGCUUUGUAUAUUGGUGGCAAUGGGGGUUCGAACCUGACAGGAUGGAUGCAUUGUAACUCUUCGUGUACCGAUCAGUUGUAUAACAUUCAUGACAUAUAUUUCAGGCUCAUCAUUCUUAACCCAUAUAACUGCAAUAGGAUGAUUAGAAGGUAUUCUUGUUAAGUCCCAUCUCCUACAAGAACAUGUCUUGUUUUUAAGAUCAACAGAGAAUAGGCUAAGAUAGAUGUCCUCAAUCUAAUAGUGGAAUUGAUCAGAUUUAGUGGCAAUACAUUCAGCCGUUUUAGUUUCUAGCUUCAACAUGAUUUUGUGAUAGAUUCUCUGGUAGUACUUCAUCAUUUUAUCUUUGUUCUUUUGAAGUUUGGACAGCAUAUAGAUCCUAAUAGAUUAAGUCAUUGUCCAAAUAUAUUUGUCUUUUACUUGUAGAAGUACAUUAUUGAAUGACUCAUACAAAUUGUUUAAUAACACAUCACAUUUUGAAAAAGAAGAGAAAAAAACUCUUGACUAGUGACAUGAUUGCUUCUUAAUAAACCAUGAUGGAGCUUUUGGAUCUAUCUUUUAUAUCUUUCAUAUGAAGGAUUCAGGUUUUGUAGUUGCCCUAGCAACUUUCAACUUCCGUGUGCUCAACAAAUAUUUUUAACUUCUCUAUUGUCAGGUAUUUCAUAGACAAAGUUAUAUAUAUCUAAGUCAGUUGUUAAAAGUCUUAUACUCGUCUCAAAAUAAGGCUCAAACUUGAAUCAAAAUUUCACCUUUUAUCAUUGACUUUAAAAAAAAAUAAUCAUACACUGCCUCGUCUGAAUAAUGGAAUUUUCAUUUCCAUUGCAAUAGUCAUAAGAAGCUAUAUGUCCAUUAAUAUAGUUCAUCUCUAGCUCAAACACCCACCAACUUUUAUAGUGUAAUUUAAUGGUGUACAUAUGUGAAUCUUCACCUUCAUCUGUCAUGCAAAAGAAAAAGUAGAAUCUAUUAGUCUUUUAAAAAUAAACAUCUCCACUAGGAAAUGUAAAUGAUACAAAUCCAACACAUAAAUAUGUAACCAAUAAUGAAAAUCUAAAUUAAUUUUUAAUUUGAAUUAAGCAAACUACAGUUCUUAAAAGGUUGACGUAUAUGUAUCAUAGUUUAUGAGUACUUCACAUUUAAUUAUGUGCAAUUCUCAAUUUUCAAAUAUGUUUAUGGCAUUCUAAUACGUGGAACAAACACAAAAUCUAAUAUGUCAUAUAAAUUUAGAAUAUGCACUACACAUAUAAGAAUUAUAAUAACUUUUGUAAAAAAAUUGAUAUUCAUUCUUUAUGUGAAAUAUUAGUUGCGUUCUGUAACUCAACGUUUUUCCCCAGAUCUCCAUACAAUCAAAGAUUCAGGCUAUAAAUAAAUUAAUUGAGUACUUACAUGCCACGUGAAUUGUAGCCCAUUCUUGCUUCUGAGUUUCAUUGUGAAAUAAAAUGAUAUUGUUUCUCUUCAAUAAGUGUACUGAGUUAUUUUCUGUGUUGCAGAAGUGUCUGGAUUAUAUUCUCGUAUAAAUGGGGAGGCAACUAAAGAGAAAAAUUGUUCAUCAAUAAACGAAAACACAAAGUAGUGUAUGAAAGGAUUGGAUCCACAUUCAAAUUGAAGAAGGCAGCAGGGCUGAGAUAUGGUUGUGUAUAAGAAAUGAUGUUAUGGGAGAAGUUAUAAACACGUUUUAGUUUUGGGUUUUGUUCUCUGCGCAGAAGUGUUUUUUGUUGUAAUACCGAAAUUUUCCUUGACAACAAUAAGUGAUCUAUUAAACUACCAUUCACUGUUAGUAAAAUGACUGAAAUCAUUUGCUUUAAUUAAUUAAAGGUUAAGUAUGA